rnacentral:rRNA from 1 species
GACGAACGCUGGCGGCGUGCCUAAUACAUGCAAGUAGAACGCACAGUUUAUACCGUAGCUUGCUACACCAUAGACUGUGAGUUGCGAACGGGUGAGUAACGCGUAGGUAACCUGCCUGGUAGCGGGGGAUAACUAUUGGAAACGAUAGCUAAUACCGCAUAAUAUUAAUUAUUGCAUGAUAAUUGAUUGAAAGAUGCAACUGCAUCACUACCAGAUGGACCUGCGUUGUAUUAGCUAGUAGGUGAGGUAACGGCUCACCUAGGCGACGAUACAUAGCCGACCUGAGAGGGUGAUCGGCCACUGGGACUGAGACACGGCCCAGACUCCUACGGGAGGCAGCAGUAGGGAAUCUUCGGCAAUGGACGAAAGUCUGACCGAGCAACGCCGCGUGAGUGAAGAAGGUUUUCGGAUCGUAAAGCUCUGUUGUAAGAGAAGAACGGGUGUGAGAGUGGAAAGUUCACACUGUGACGGUAUCUUACCAGAAAGGGACGGCUAACUACGUG